AAGUCGUAACAAGGUUUCCGUAGGUGAACCUGCGGAAGGAUCAUUUCCAAAUAACAGGGGAGCUCGCUCCCUAGAGAUGGCCAAAAUUCAUUUUUUGGCUUCUCAAUAUCAACCUGUUGUACUGUUUGUCAAAAUUUAUACUUAAUAUAAAACAACUUUUAACAAUGGAUCUCUUGGCUCUU
rnacentral:misc_RNA from 1 species